rnacentral:rRNA from 1 species
UGCAGUCGACGGCAGCGGGGGCUUCGGCCUGCCGGCGAGUGGCGAACGGGUGAGUAAUGCAUCGGAACGUGCCCAUGUCGUGGGGGAUAACGUAUCGAAAGGUACGCUAAUACCGCAUACGUCCUGAGGGAGAAAGCGGGGGAUCGCAAGACCUCGCGCGAUUGGAGCGGCCGAUGUCGGAUUAGCUAGUAGGUGAGGUAAAGGCUCACCUAGGCGACGAUCCGUAGCGGGUCUGAGAGGAUGAUCCGCCACACUGGGACUGAGACACGGCCCAGACUCCUACGGGAGGCAGCAGUGGGGAAUUUUGGACAAUGGGGGCAACCCUGAUCCAGCCAUGCCGCGCGAGUGAAGAAGGCCUUCGGGUUGUAAAGCUCUUUCGGCCGGGAAGAAAUCGUGUUCUCUAACAUAGGACAUGGAUGACGGUACCGGACUAAGAAGCACCGGCUAACUACGUGCCAGCAGCCGCGGUAAUACGUAGGGUGCGAGCGUUAAUCGGAAUUACUGGGCGUAAAGCGUGCGCAGGCGGUUUUGUAAGACAGAUGUGAAAUCCCCGGGCUUAACCUGGGAACUGCGUUUGUGACUGCAAGGCUAGAGUACGGCAGAGGGGGGUGGAAUUCCUGGUGUAGCAGUGAAAUGCGUAGAUAUCAGGAGGAACACCGAUGGCGAAGGCAGCCCCCUGGGCCUGUACUGACGCUCAUGCAC